UACGGAGGAUCCAAGCGUUAUCCGGAUUUAUUGGGUUUAAAGGGUGCGUAGGCGGCCUAUUAAGUCAGGGGUGAAAGACGGUAGCUUAACUAUCGCAGUGCCUUUGAUACUGAUGGGCCUGAAUACACUAGAGGUAGGCGGAAUGUGACAAGUAGCGGUGAAAUGCAUAGAUAUGUCACAGAACACCAAUUGCGAAGGCAGCUUACUAUGGUGCAAUUGACGCUGAGGCACGAAAGCGUGGGGAUCAAACAGG
rnacentral:rRNA from 1 species